rnacentral:lncRNA from 11 species
CUGAGGUUAAAUAACUUCCCGUCUGUCCAAUAGAUGAUUUCUACUCUAGUGGGAAGCUUCUCAUCAACAAGAUGAAGUAUCAUAGUGAUGAAGAUGGAAAAUAGAGUUGAGGUGAUAACACAUCCCUGUUUGACACCUGAGUCCACCUUAAAUGGGUAAUUUUAGGAGCCAUUGCAUCGCAGUUAAAGUGGUAUUAACAUGCAUGAAUGUAGAUGCAUUCAACCACAGGUUGAACCUUUUUUUUUGUCCUUGAUCAGAUGAGGAACCAAAGCUGAAAUCAGGUUAUAGUUCCUGGACUACUGAAAUAAAUGCAUAGGCACAUGAACAUGAGCCAGCUGGUCAACAUCUCACAAAAGUGCUGCAGGAGUCCCACUCAGCCAACAAACACAAGGAAGAAUUUGACCAACCCUCAAGUGGCAAAGUAAAGGAUAUCAUACCAAAA